rnacentral:rRNA from 1 species
AGCGAACGCUGGCGGCAGGCCUAACACAUGCAAGUCGAACGAACCUUUCGGGGUUAGUGGCGGACGGGUGAGUAACACGUGGGAACGUGCCUUUAGGUUCGGAAUAACUCAGGGAAACUUGUGCUAAUACCGAAUGUGCCCUUCGGGGGAAAGAUUAAUCGCCUUUAGAGCGGCCCGCGUCUGAUUAGCUAGUUGGUUGAGGUAAUGGCUCACCAAGGCGACGAUCAGUAGCUGGUCUGAGAGGAUGAUCAGCCACAUUGGGACUGAGACACGGCCCAAACUCCUGCGGGAGGCAGCAGUGGGGAAUCUUGCGCAAUGGGCGAAAGCCUGACGCAGCCAUGCCGCGUGAAUGAUGAAGGUCUUAGGAUUGUAAAAUUCUUUAACCGGGGACGAUAAUGACGGUACCCGGAGAAGAAGCCCCGGCUAACUUCGUG